rnacentral:lncRNA from 1 species
AUGCCCUUCAUAUUCGGGGCCCUCGCCCUCGCCCUGGUGUUCGAGGCGGUCGCCCUGUUCUGCCAGUGGGCCCUGGUGGUGUCGGGGGCCAUCGAGCUGGUCAUUGUCACCUGCGGGUUGUACGGGGCGGUGGCUCUGCUCCUCAAGGGCAUCACGCAGCGCUACGUCCUUCCAGGCUUUGGGCAUCCCCUCUUCAAUGUCCUGCUCUUGGGGUCAGCACAGAAAAGCUCCUCCAAGGCCAUCGGGGAGGAAAAGAAAAAGAACACAAAGUAUGCCGAGCCGAUGGCCCUGGGCAACAUCUGCGACACGGUGUCGCCCUUUAUCUUCGCCUUUUACUUCUUUGGCUACGUGAAGACCUUCUGUGUCGGGGCGGUGUGGAUCUCCAUCAUCUCCAGCUGCCAGCUGCUCUCCAGCUUCUACAGCUACCUCCGAGGUGACGCCUACCACACAACCAAGUUUGGUGUCCACAGCCUCUACUGGCUGGUGAUGUCUUGGGAAGAGUUCAUCCUCACCGCCUUCCUUGGGCUGCCCCGGGCUCAGGAGAGCAGGCUGGGAAUGUUUGGAGGGUGGUUCUUCCUGGCCACCGCCUGCACGCUGUUCCUGAUGUCCACCCACAAAGACACCCUGGAGACGCUGCAAAACGCCUCCUUCGUCAUCCUCACCACGGCCUUCAUCCAUCAGAUCCCGCUGCCCGGCGCUCAGCCCCUCCUGGGCACCGCCUGCAGCCUCUGCACGGCCCUGUCCCUGUACGCCACCUUCGCCAGCCUCAUCAACUCCAUCGGGGAGAAGGCCCUGAUCCCGGUGGGCGCCCAGGCCGUGUCCAGCUCGGCUCUCCAAACCGCGCUGGUGGCCCUCAAAGCCCUCCUCACGAGCACCAAGGAGCUCCCCGGCGGCACCGGCGCCGCCGUGCCCGACGCCUUGUUCUACAUCUGCAACGGCCUGGCCGCGGCCUCUGCCAUCCAGGGCGGCCUGGGGGACCCCGGCAGGCAGCAGCUCUCCAUCCCCUCCGUGCUCAUCCCGGGGGCCGUGGGGCAGCUCUACGUGUGCAGGAUCCAGGCCUGGGGAGGGAGGAGGUUUGGCUCCGUCCUCCCGUUCUGCUACGCUGCCUUCUGGGCGGCCUGGGCGUGGCUGCGCCUGGCAGGUAACGCGUGGGCCGGGCGCCCGGGUGGCUCGGUCGCUACAAAAGGGGAUGCUUUUAGGGAAUUCAGAUUGCUUGAUUCCACGUAG